rnacentral:rRNA from 1 species
CGGAUUGUAGUCUGCAACCGACUACAUGAAGCCGGAAUCGCUAGUAAUCGCGGAUCAGAAUGCCGCGGUGAAUACGUUCCCGGGUCUUGUACACACCGCCCGUCACACCAUGGGAGUUGGAAAUGCCCGAAGUCAGUGGCCCAACCGGAAGGGGGGAGCUGCCGAAGGCAGGUUCGAUGACUGGGGUGAAGUCGUAACAAGGUAGC